rnacentral:rRNA from 1 species
UACGGGGGGGGCAAGCGUUGUUCGGAUUCACUGGGCGUAAAGGGUGCGCAGGUGGUCGGGUAAGUCUGAUGUGAAAUCCCGCAGCUUAACUGCGGAAUGGCAUUGGAUACUAUUCGGCUAGAGGGUUGGAGGGGGGACUGGAAUUCUCGGUGUAGCAGUGAAAUGCGUAGAUAUCGAGAGGAACACCAGUGGCGAAGGCGAGUCCCUGGACAACUCCUGACGCUGAGGCACGAAAGCUAGGGGAGCAAACAGG